CACAAAACAGGUGCCUACAUACACCUUUAGAGAGAGAAAGAGAAAAACCCUUUAAUAUGUAUAUAGAGAAAGACAAAUGAAGCUGUUGGGUUUCAACGAGAAGGUUGAGCUUAUGCAAGCCUAGUGAUGUCGUUAGUGGGUUAGAUGGGUUUAUGACUAGAACAUCCUUCACAUCAAGGUUCUGCAUUUGUGCUUGUUCUUAUGCCUCUUUGAGGGUUGAUUUGGUGAUUCUAAAACCAUUUGGAAGAAGACAGCUUUCUUCAAGAGUGAAUCUGUGGAUGAUUAUCAUUUUUGAAUUCGACCGAUUCAAGAUUAUUCUUGAUCCAUGAUUCCAGAAGGUUAAAGGAGAGUUGAUUUUGAGCGAGACCCAAAUGAAUGAUACCAUUGAGAUUUCAUCUCCUUCACACAAACCCCUCGCCAUCGACCCUCCCCCAUUCAUGUAGCCAGAAAGAAAGUUAACCCAGUCCACAUACCAAUAUGAUAUUAUUAUCCAGAUUAUAAACCAAUUACUAGCCAAGUCGGAUUCUGUGCAAAAAUCUUUCAUGCAAAAUCAAGAUCCUGCCUCAAAUGAUCCAUCUCUGAAUAAUUUGUUCUCAUUUCUUCCGCGAACCCUAAAGUUUUCGAUCUUGCUCUUCUUAUAGUUUUCAAAACAACAUUAUUUAUAGUCAACACAAACACUUUUUCCUGGUUAACCUCAAACAAGCCUUUUGGCAAUGAAACUCCCAUCACAAUAGGCACAUUCGCCACUUUAAAUCCUUUCUUUGCUAAAUAGAUCGACAAUGGAGUCUUCCCUGUUCGUGAAACACCAGCAAGAACAAUGUCUUAUUUGUGUAAGUUCUGGGGUAAAGCUCUGUCAUCUUGUUUUAUGGUGAAUUCAAUUGUAUAGAUUCUCUUGAUGUAAUCUUCGGUUAGGGGGAAUUUCCUGUCCAAAGCACCACGGGCAGCCCCGAAGGGGGAAAUGCCAAACGCCUUGUUCCCAAGUUCCACUGGAUGGAUAAAGAAGGGAAGUGAGGGAUAUCGAAGGAAAAUCGUGUUCCCGAGUUUAAUUAAUGGAAGGAAAGUGAGGGGAGGGAAAGGAUUUUGGAGUCAUAUUUUCCUCCUAAAUUGGGCAGAUUUGGGAAGAAAGUGAGGGGAAGGAAAAUUUUCAGUUUUAUUUUCUUUUUCCUCCUAACUCAGGUCCGUUCAUUUCCUUCGAACUCGGAACACGAAAUAAUGAAUAUUUUUCUUCCUCUCCCUUUCUUUUUGUCAAAAUUUUUCUUCCUUUCCUUUAUUGAAAUUACAAAAAAAAAACUUGGGAACAAGGCAUAAGCGCAAUGUGAUUGCUUCUGUGCUCGGGCUAAGGAUGUCGGUGGAUAGAACACCCCAUCGUUUGCAGGCGUGUCGAGCUGAGGCAACAUGUUUUUAUCAGUACUUCUGAGGGUCGCGGGAAGCCGAAGAUCUUAUUGUACACACUCGUUGGGAUAUUUGUUACCGAGGCAUUUUGUGAUACUCUGAUAUUUAGUGAUGAUGAUUUGUAUUUGACACUUAUGUUUUUCGAUGACUUGGUUUAUGAACAAUAUUUUGGGUAAUUUAAAAAUGAAAAUUUUGGUUUGAA